UCCGGUUUGUCACCGGCAGUCUCGCAUGAGUCCCCAACCGAAUUGCUGGCAACAUGCGACAGGGGUCGCGCUCGUUGCGGGACUUAACCCAACAUCUCACGACACGAGCUGACGACAGCCAUGCAGCACCUGUGCACACUGGUAUUGCUACCUCGUCACCCUUUCAGGUUUCUACUAUGUGCAUGUCAAGGCCAGGUAAGGUUCUUCGCGUUGCAUCGAAUUAAGCCACAUACUCCACCGCUUGUGCAGGCCCCCGUCAAUUUCUUUGAGUUUCAGCCUUGCGACCGUACUCCCCAGGCGGGAUACUUAAUGCGUUAGCUUCGGCACAACUGGAUUCAAUCCCAGUUACACCAAGUAUCCAUCGUUUAGGGCUAGGACUAC
rnacentral:misc_RNA from 1 species